rnacentral:rRNA from 1 species
CUCUUCUUGAAUAUAUUUUGAUGUAUGGCCUGCCCACUGAGUAUUGAAGGGCCGCGGUAUUUUGACCGUGCAAAGGUAGCAUAAUCAUUAGUCUUUUAAUUGUAGGCUGGAAUGAAUGGUUUGACGAGGUGUAAACUGUCUUUAAUUUAUUUAUUGAAUUUAAAUUUUAGGUUAAAAUGCCUAAAUAUUUUUUUGGGACGAGAAGACCCUAUAGAGUUUAUAUAUAUUUUUAUUUUUUUGUAUGAUAUUUUUUUAAUUUGAAAAUUUAUUUUGUUGGGGUGAUGGAAAGAUUUAAUUAACUCUUUUUAUUUUUUUAUAUUUAUUUAUAUAUAUUUGAUCCAUUUUUGUUGAUUAUAAGACUAAAUUACCUUAGGGAUAACAGCGUAAUUCUUUUUGAGAGUUCUUAUUGACAAAAGAUUUUGCGA